rnacentral:rRNA from 1 species
CAGUCGCCGGGUAAUACGGAGGGGGCUAGCGUUGUUCGGAAUUACUGGGCGUAAAGCGCACGUAGGCGGCUUGGUAAGUUAGAGGUGAAAGCCUGGAGCUCAACUCCAGAAUUGCCUUUAAGACUGCCGAGCUAGCAGGUGAGAGAGGUAAGUGGAAUUCCGAGUGUAGAGGUGAAAUUCGUAGAUAUUCGGAAGAACACCAGUGGCGAAGGCGGCUUACUGGCUCAUACUGGACGCUGAGGUGCGAAAGCGUGGGGAGCAAACAGGAUUAGAUACCCCAGUAGUCCCUGUCUCUUAUACC